CCAACCGGGAUUCCCCAAGUAAGGGCGACUGAAAGGGGACCAGCCCAGCGCAUAACCUCGCGGUCCUGCACGGCCGUCGAGGGGUGUUGCGUUUCGGUGGAUCCGUACCGCUCGAGCUGCUGACCGCCUAAGUCAUUGCUUGAAUGCAGCCCCGAGGAGGGUGGUAGGCCCGUGUGGCGGCGCCUGUAAAAAGGUUUUAGGCAGCUUGGGCGGAGGGGUCUUUACCGUAGAGUCGGGUUGCUUAGUACUGCAGCCCUAAGUAGGUGGUAAACUCCAUCUAAGGCUAAAUACCACCACGAGUCCGAUAUUUGACAAGUACCGUGAGGGAAAGCUGAAAAGGACUCUGAAGAGAGAGUUCAAGAGGACGUGAAACCAUUAGAAGCUCAAACGGGUGGAACCGUGAAGGUCGAAAGAGGGGAUUCAGCUGGCGGGGCGUGGGCGGCAGCGACGGUUCAAGUUGCAUUUCAGUGAGAGGACCCGGCGAUGGAGUUAGUUGCCGCGGCCCCGUCGCUGUCGUGCCGUGACCCGCGGGCUUAUUUCUCCCUCGAGUAGAGUUGGUCGCGACCCGCUGCUUAGGCUCCGAGGGGCCGUCCGGGACUGGUAGCCCGCGCCUUGGCGCGGGUGAUGACCCGGCACGGUGCUGACCGGGCCCGAGCGGCGGUCACUGCAAGGAGGCCGCGGAGAGAAGAAUGCGGCCUCUCGCGACUUGAGAGUGAUUGG
rnacentral:rRNA from 1 species